UAGAAAUUAGUUAAAAUAUAACAUAAGACUGUCAGCCUUAAAUUACUAAUAUAUUAGUAUUUCUAA
rnacentral:tRNA from 1 species